CUCACCACAAAGCUAACUAAUGUUUAUAGCUUGUUUUUUUUUCUCUUGCAAAAGGAACAUGGCAAGUGAAGAAAAUUUAUAGGAAUAAAGCAAAGUUGGCCAACAGUUCAAAUGUUCUCUCUUGUAUUGAUGUAGGUACACAGCCACAAUCUCAGAUUACGUUGUACCUGCACCUUCACUUCUGCCAGUACUACUUGCUGCACUCAUCCAGCUUCAAAGAGACUCUACUGGGGGAAAGAUUGCACCCAAGGACCUCCAUCCAAUGCCAGGUGGGAGGAAUGUUGUUGAGAGAGUUGUAGGUUAACAUCAGCAUCUGUUGUAGGCCUUCAAUUCCUUUUUAGAUUCCUUUGUAUUUG
rnacentral:lncRNA from 1 species